GUGGGGAAUCUUGCGCAAUGGGCGAAAGCCUGACGCAGCCAUGCCGCGUGAAUGAUGAAGGUCUUAGGAUUGUAAAAUUCUUUCACCGGGGACGAUAAUGACGGUACCCGGAGAAGAAGCUCCGGCUAACUUCGUGCCAGCAGCCGCGGUAAUACGAAGGGGGCUAGCGUUGCUCGGAAUUACUGGGCGUAAAGGGCGCGUAGGCGGACAGCUUAGUCAGAGGUGAAAGCCCAGGGGUGAACCUUGGAAUUGCCUUUGAUAUGGGCUGUCUUGAGUUUGGGAGAGGUGAGUGGAACUCCGAGUGUAGAGGUGAAAUUCGUAGAUAUUCGGAAGAACACCAGUGGCGAAGGCGACUCACUGGCCCAAUACUGACGCUGAGGCGCGAAAGCGUGGGGAGCAAACAGGAUUAGAAACCCUAGUAGUCC
rnacentral:rRNA from 1 species